rnacentral:ncRNA from 2 species
AUUUUAUGUGUGGGGUGCUGUUAUUAUUUCCAGAAUUAACGGCUGAGAAUAUACCCUUGAACCUGAACUGGAUAACGCCAGCGUAGGAAAAUAUGAUGAAAAUAUA